UUCCUACGGGAGGCAGCAGUGAGGAAUAUUGGUCAAUGGGCGGUAGCCUGAACCAGCCAAGUAGCGUGAAGGAUGAAGGUUCUAUGGAUUGUAAACUUCUUUUAUAAAGGAAUAAAGUGAGGCACGUGUGCCUUUUUGUAUGUACUUUAUGAAUAAGGAUCGGCUAACUCCGUGCCAGCAGCCGCGGUAAUACGUAGGAUCCGAGCGUUAUCCGGAUUUAUUGGGUUUAAAGGGGCGU
rnacentral:rRNA from 1 species